rnacentral:rRNA from 1 species
CACCUUUAGAAAUAUUAAAGGCACCGCCUGCUCAAUGCUUUAAAGUAAAUAGCCGCAGUAUUUUGACUGUGCUAAGGUAGCAUAAUCAUUAGUCUCUUAAUUGGAGGCUGGUAUGAAUGGCGAGACGAGAAAGCUGCUGUCUCCAAUAGAAAUCUCGAAUUUUAUUUCUGGGUGAAAAAGCCCAGAUGGCUUUGAAGGACGAUCAGACCCUAUGGAGCUUUACUCUUAUAUAUUAAUAAAACUAUUGAAAGUGUAUUAAUUUAGAGAGUUUCGUUGGGGCGACGAAGAGAAUUAAAUAACACUCUUUUCCAAGAACAAUAAUCAGUGGAUUAAUGAUCCUCACCGAGAGAUCAGAAGACCAAGUUACCCUAGGGAUAACAGCGUAAUCCCCUAAGAGAGUUCAAAUCGAUAAGGGGGUUUGCGACCUCGAUGUUGGAUUAAGAAAUUAGCGGGGUGCAGAAGCUCCGUUGAAAAGUCUGUUCGACUUUUGAUUUCUUACA